rnacentral:tRNA from 1 species
AUUAAAAUGGCAGAAAAAAAUAUGCAAGGAAUUUAAGCUUCCUUUAUGGAUAUUAUUCCUUUUAAUA